rnacentral:rRNA from 1 species
ACGAACGCUGGCGGCGUGCUUCACACCUGCAAGUCGAACGGUGAAGCGCCUUCCUUUUUGGUGGGUGUGGAUGAGUGGCGAACGGGUGAGUAACACGUGAGUAACCUGCCCCCUUCUUCUGGAUAACCGCAUGAAAGUGUGGCUAAUACGGGAUAUUCUGGGUCUGUCGCAUGAUGGGUCUGGGAAAGAUAUUGUUUCGGUGGGGGAUGGGCUCGCGGCCUAUCAGCUUGUUGGUGGGGUGAUGGCCUACCAAGGCGGUGACGGGUAGCCGGCCUGAGAGGGUGGACGGUCACACUGGGACUGAGACACGGCCCAGACUCCUACGGGAGGCAGCAGUGGGGAAUAUUGCACAAUGGGCGCAAGCCUGAUGCAGCGACGCCGCGUGAGGGAUGGAGGCCUUCGGGUUGUGAACCUCUUUCGCCAGUGAAGCAGGCCUGCCUCGUUUGUGGGUGGGUUGACGGUAGCUGGAGAAGAAGCGCCGGCUAACUACGUG